GAUUUUUUUCUAUCUAGACCAGUGAUUCCCAACAAUCACAUUUUCUAUCUAGACCAGUGAUUCACAAUCUUUUUUUCUAUCUAGUUGGGAAUCACUGGUCUAGAUAGAAAAAAA
rnacentral:pre_miRNA from 1 species